CAGUCGCCGCGGGAAAACGGAGGGAGCUAGCGUUGUUCGGAAUUACUGGGCGUAAAGCGUGCGUAGGCGGCUUCUUAAGUCGGAUGUGAAAUCCCUGAGCUUAACUUAGGAAUUGCAUUCGAUACUGGGAAGCUAGAGUAUGGGAGAGGAUGGUAGAAUUCCAGGUGUAGCGGUGAAAUGCGUAGAGAUCUGGAGGAAUACCGAUGGCGAAGGCAGCCAUCUGGCCUAAUACUGACGCUGAGGUACGAAAGCAUGGGGAGCAAACAGGAUUAGAUACCCCCGUAGUCCCUGUCUCUUAUAC
rnacentral:rRNA from 1 species